rnacentral:rRNA from 1 species
AAAGCUCCCUUCGGGGAGCAAGUAGAGUGGCGCACGGGGAGUAACACGUAGGUAAUCUACCUUCGGAUGGGGAAUAACAACCGGAAACGGUUGCUAAUACCGCAUAAUGCAGCGGCACCUAAUGGUGACAGUUGUUAAAGCGGGGGAUCGUAAGACCUCGCGUCUGAAGAGGAGCCUGCGGCAGAUUAGCUAGUUGGUAAGGUAACGGCUUACCAAGGCGAUGAUCUGUAGCCGGCCUGAGAGGGCGGUCGGCCACACUGACACUGACAUACGGGUCAGACUCCUACGGGAGGCAGCAGUCGGGAAUUUUGGGCAAUGGGCGAAAGCCUGACCCAGCAACGCCGCGUGAAGGAUGAAAUCCCUCGGGAUGUAAACUUCGCAAGAACGGGAAGAAUAAGUGAGAGUUAAUAUCUCUCGCGAUGACGGUACCGUUUGUAAGCUCCGGCUAACUCCGUGCCAGCAGCCGCGGUAAUACGGGGGGAGCAAGCGUUGUUCGGAUUUACUGGGCGUAAAGGGCGCGUAGGCGGCCACCGCAAGUCGACUGUGAAAUCUCCGGGCUUAACCCGGAAAGGUCAGCCGAUACUGCGGGGCUAGAGUGCAGAAGGGGCAACUGGAAUUCUCGGUGUAGCGGUGAAAUGCGUAGAUAUCGAGAGGAACACCUGCGGCGAAGGCGGGUUGCUGGGCUGACACUGACGCUGAGGCGCGAAAGCUAGGGGAGCGAACGGGAUUAGAUACCCCGGUAGUCCUAGCCUUAAACGAUGAAUGCUUGGUGUCUGGGGUUUUAUAGUCCCCGGGUGCCGUCGCUAACGC